AUUGAACGCUGGCGGCAGGCCUAACACAUGCCAGUCGAGCGGAUGAAGGGAGCUUGCUCCUGGAUUCAGCGGCGGACGGGUGAGUAAUGCCUAGGAAUCUGCCUGGUAGUGGGGGAUAACGUCCGGAAACGGGCGCUAAUACCGCAUACGUCCUGAGGGAGAAAGUGGGGGAUCUUCGGACCUCACGCUAUCAGAUGAGCCUAGGUCGGAUUAGCUAGUUGGUGGGGUAAAGGCCUACCAAGGCGACGAUCCGUAACUGGUCUGAGAGGAUGAUCAGUCACACUGGAACUGAGACACGGUCCAGACUCCUACGGGAGGCAGCAGUGGGGAAUAUUGGACAAUGGGCGAAAGCCUGAUCCAGCCAUGCCGCGUGUGUGAAGAAGGUCUUCGGAUUGUAAAGCACUUUAAGUUGGGAGGAAGGGCAGUAAGUUAGUACCUUGCUGUUUUGACGUUACCAACAGAAUAAGCACCGGCUAACUUCGUG
rnacentral:rRNA from 1 species